AAGGACGAGAAUUGGUGCGAAUCGCCCAGCUGCCCUAGCAAAGUAGCGGAGCCGAAGAGAGUCGCGCGGUAGCGCGGGUCUAGCAGACAGGACGCGUGGGAGCCAAACCUUGUGCCCGUGAGCGUCUACGAAGAGUCGCAGCCGUCUAGACGAGUACCGGAGCUGGUCUAGUUCUACGAUGUCUCCAAGGCUCGCAACGUGCUUACCCAGCGCAGAGAAGGGGAGAAAAUUGCCUCCGGGCUGCGGGAACCAGCGACCGUAGAGCCUGCGAGAUGGGGUCAUUGGGGGCAUUAAGCCGAAGCCACGCUAGGAGUUUUAACUAAAAUAAACGCCGAAAUGAACGAACG